AGUGAACGCUGGCGGCAGGCCUAACACAUGCAAGUCGAACGGUAGCACAGAGGAGCUUGCUCCUUGGGUGACGAGUGGCGGACGGGUGAGGAAUACAUCGGAAUCUACACUGUCGUGGGGGAUAACGUAGGGAAACUUACGCUAAUACCGCAUACGAACUGAGGUUGAAAGCAGGGGACCGCAAGGCCUUGCGCGAUUGGAUGAGCCGAUGUCCGAUUAGCUAGUUGGUAAGGUAAAGGCUUACCAAGGCGACGAUCGGUAGCUGGUCUGAGGGGAUGAGCAGCCACCCGAGAACUGAGACACGGUCAAGACUCCGACGGGAGUCAGCAGUGGGGGAUGUUGGACAAUGGGCGCGAGUCGGAUCCAGCCAUGCCGCGUGUGUGAAGAAGGCCUUCGGGUUGUAAAGCACUUUUGUUGGGUAAGAAAAGCUAUCGGUUAAUACCCGGUGUUACUGGCGGUACCCAAAGAAUAAGCACCGGCUAACUUCGUGCCAGCAGCCGCCGUAACAC
rnacentral:rRNA from 1 species